CCCUAGACAAGCGAGGAGACCCAAACACAGCUCCAGGGGCCCAGGGCUCCAUCCUAGCCUGUGACCUCUGCCCCCACUAUCCAGGAAAGUUCUAGGCACCUUUACCCAGCAUUCAGCCAAGUGGUGAACCCUUGGGGGGGCCCGGCCCAGGCACGAACAAAGCUAGAUUGACAAACUUAAAGGGUGAGGCAGGGGGGGCAAACGGGGCAGGGGGUCUACUAAGACCCAAAGGCAGAUGAGUCAGCCAGGUGAGGAGCUGGGGAAAGCACGUGCAAAGGCCCUGGGGUGAGGGAGCCUGACCCAGGUGAAAGCCUGUGAGAAAGACACAAAGGCAGAGGCACAGGGGGUGAGGGGCAUAGGUGAGGCUGCUGGUGCUAGUGACUGCCGGCCGCGCUGGGCCUCUGCGCUAGUCUUCCGCUGAGACCAAGGGGAAGUCACAGAGAGAAGCUGAGCUGGGUCGGGCUGCACUGUAGAGACUUCCAUUUUCACAGAGGUCCCUGGCUGCGGGGAGAGGGGCGGCAGGGGUAAAGCCAGGGCAGGGAGGCCCGGGACUGCCAGACCGGGGCCUGGCAGCAGAGGGACUGGGGAGGGGGGGUGCAGAAUCCCCAGACAAGUGGUGGGCGUAAUCCAGAGAACAAUCCCCCCACACGCCCCUCCCUCAUCCACCUCUGAAGCUUCCUGCCCACAGCCAGCUGCAGGAGGGAAGGACGAGCCGGAGACUCGCUGAGCCGCCAGUUCCAGAAGCUGCUGAGUUCCGGCAGGGGUUCUUUCCGUGCUCGGAGCGGUCUCAGCUGGGAGGAGCCUCAGCCCGGACUUAAUUCCCAGGAGAGGUUCGAGUCACAAAGGUGGCCACUUCAGGCAAGGGGUGGGCCUUGGAGGCUGCCGCGAGAGGGAGAAGUCCUCCCCUCAGGGUGCUCCCCAUAGGGGUUUCUGCAGCCUUGGGCCGGAGGGCUGGGGAUCCUAUGGGGCCCAGGGCGCCUGUAUCACCCAUGCUGGGCCGGGCUGCCCCGCCUCUUCCAGAGAGACCCCAUCCCUGUUCUGGGGCCCACUGGGCCGCGACACCCACCUCUAGCCUGGGGGCUCCCUCUCCGAGCGCCCCAGUACCAGGGGCGCUCGGGCAUGCUCUGAGGUGGGCGCUUGACAAGGUGUGGGAGGGGCGGAGGCCCCCGACCUGGCAGGGGAUCUUCAGGGCCAGGCCAGGGUGCAGGCUGCCCGGAGUCUGGAUGGAGCCGGCUUGGCUCAGGAGGGAGCUGCGCUUCCGCCCGUGUUCUGUGGUGCUAAAUAUAGCGGCCAGGGAGGGGAGUUUCCGGUUACAGCCCCCCCCCCACCCCCCAGUGCUGGGAAAUCGAUGCCAGCUCCAUCAGGCCCAGCGGCACGGCCUGCUGACCUGCCCCCAUCAGGCUGCAGAGCAGAAUGAGGGGGCUGGAGCGCACCCAAGUCCGGGGGCUCUGCCCCUCGCCCCCCCGCCUGCCGCUUCCCAGCCCCCAGCUGCUCCCCGGCACCAGCCUGCCAGGGCCCCUCUGAGGCAGCGGGCAGCACCUGCAGGUCAGCGAGGAGGGACAGUGGGGCCCUAGAGGGGGGCACCAGGCAGGCAAGAGAGAGGGAGGUGGGGUGGUUCUAGGCUGGGCAGGGUUCCCGCCCUGCGAGCCGUUCUCCGGAUGCACCGAGGCCCGGCGCGGCCCGCUCCUCUGGACCCUGCCGCAGCCGAGCCCUGCCAGCCCCCUUGGUCGCACAGCACACACCUGAGGGCCACUCCCAGCAGUGUGCCACUCAACUGGCUGGGCUCCCUGGAGGCCCCACCUGGGUCGCAGCCAGCAUUUGCAUACAGGUGGUGCCGCUCGGGUGGGCCCCUUGGGCACAGCCUCCUCAGGACGGCCUCGAAUGCCAGGCCCAGGGGCUGUCUGCGCUGUGCCUGUCGCCCCGGCCCCCUCCCCGGCUGAAGGGAGGGGCCUUCCACGUGUGCUGCCUGAGUGGGGUCAGCCUGGGGCAGGGCAGGGGGAUUACCGGAGGGCAGGGUGACCUCAGCCAGAAAGAGUGGCCCCCACCUGGCAGUGGGGUCUCAGUGGGAGCCAAAGGCAGGCCCUUCCUCAGCACCCGCCCCAUUCCAGCCUGAGGUCUGGUCCGCGGGGACGCUGAAGUCAUGUUCGGAGCAGAGCUCCCGACCAUGCCAGCUCCUACUGCCUGUGACCGCAACAGCCCGUGGGCACCCGGCCCUCCCCCAGCUGCCCACAACCCAUCAUCCGUGCCGCCGCCCUCGGUGGACCAGAGGACUUGGGAGGGCUCUGGGGGGGGAGGGCCAGGACAGGUCACCAGCUGCAAAGGGGGUCAGGCUGGCCCUCAUUCCAGGAGCGUCCCCAGCGCUCAGGCUGGGCCCCCGUCCCCGACCGACCGACUGCCCAACCUGGACUGUGGUGACUGGCACACCCUCGCCACUUAGGACCCCCAUCCACCCGCUUCGUAUGGAGCAUUUACUGGGAGCGUAGCUGAGCAGUCACCCAGCUCUCCUGUGAGCCCAAGUGUUUUAAGGGUCACAAAGGCAGCUCAUGCAGCCCCUGACCCUUAAGACAGGCCAGCGUGCAGGGCAGGGAUCCUCCCAGCUUUGUAGGCCACGCCACACGCAGGCCAGCGGGCAGAGGGAGUUCUUAUCACCGACUCCAACUGCCCAGAGCACUGCCCGGGCCGUCGGGUGGGGGGGUGGCGCUAGACCCAGAGCGGCCCUGGCUUCGGACUCCAGGAGAGGGUAGGGUCCUGGGAGCACGCGCCCUCGAGAAUGAACAGCCUGCGGCUCUGUCCCCACCUCCUCCCCAGGGCUGGCUCUGCCACCGCUCCACGGCCACCCCAUGGCCCAGCACUCUGUCCUCCCUGAGCGCCUGGCCUGGCCGAGCCCCCACCUAAGGCCUGACCUUAGCCGUCUGCCGGCCACCAGCCGCCCUCAGCAGUCCCUGCCCUGCCUGCUGCCAGAGGCCUCUUGGUGGAAAGCCCACCCUCCCCCAGGGCCCAUCGGGGAAAGACCCGCGGUCCCUCCACCUGCCCCAGCCCACCUGGGGCCACCGCUCGGAGCCAGAGGACACAGGCUGGAGUUGUACAAGCCUUUAUUGGAUCUGCAGGAGGUGACCGUGGCCGACCUUGGUCCCGACCCCCCGGAGUCUCACCGGGGACCCAGCCCAGGAGCCACACAGCUGAGGAACCACGAGAUGCCAAAGAGGACACCAAGGGUCUUGGGGACAUCCGGGUCAUCCGCGAAGGCCUGGGCCCCAUCCAGCGGCAGAUGCACCACUUGGAUGAGCUCGCCCUCCUCUGCCAGGCCCCCGCCCGGGCCGCUCCGCUGGGAAUCGGUCACCUCUGCGUAGAACAUGGUCUGGCUGGAGC